rnacentral:rRNA from 1 species
GUUCAACCCUCACCCUUCCUUGCUUUUCCCGCCUAUAUACCACCGUCGUCAGCUUACCCUGUGAAGGUUUUAUAGUAAGCAAAGUUGGCACAGCCUAAAACGUCAGGUCGAGGUGUAGUGCAUGAGAGGGGAAGAAAUGGGCUACAUUCGCUACCGAUAGCGAAUUACGAAUGUUGCAUUGAAACAUGCAGCUGAAGGAGGAUUUAGCAGUAAGCAGAAAGCAGAGCGUCCCGCUGAAACUGGCCCUAAAGCGCGCACACACCGCCCGUCACCCUCCCCAAGCUUCCGGCCCUAAUUAAUUAAAACCCUACAACUGCAAAGGAGAGGAAAGUCGUAACAUGGUAAGUGUACCGGAAGGUGCGCUUGGAAAAAU